GACAGAGGGUGCAAACGUUGUUCGGAAUUACUGGGCGUAAAGCGCGUGUAGGCUGCUGCGAAAGUCAGGUGUGAAAUCCCCGGGCUCAACCCGGGAACUGCGUCCGAUACUGGAAGGCUUGAAUCCGGGAGAGGGAUGCGGAAUUCCAGGUGUAGCGGUGAAAUGCGUAGAUAUCUGGAGGAACACCGGUGGCGAAGGCGGCAUCCUGGACCGGCAUUGACGCUGAGGCGCGAAAGCCAGGGGAGCAAACGGG
rnacentral:rRNA from 1 species